rnacentral:rRNA from 1 species
AGUGAACGCUGGCGGUAGGCCUAACACAUGCAAGUCGAACGGCAGCACAGUAAGAGCUUGCUCUUACGGGUGGCGAGUGGCGGACGGGUGAGGAAUACAUCGGAAUCUACUUUUUCGUGGGGGAUAACGUAGGGAAACUUACGCUAAUACCGCAUACGACCUACGGGUGAAAGCAGGGGAUCUUCGGACCUUGUGCGAUUGAAUGAGCCGAUGUCGGAUUAGCUAGUUGGCGGGGUAAAGGCCCACCAAGGCGACGAUCCGUAGCUGGUCUGAGAGGAUGGUCAGCCACACUGGAACUGAGACACGGUCCAGACUCCUACGGGAGGCAGCAGUGGGGAAUAUUGGACAAUGGGCGCAAGCCUGAUCCAGCCAUACCGCGUGGGUGAAGAAGGCCUUCGGGUUGUAAAGCCCUUUUGUUGGGAAAGAAAAGCAGCAGGUUAAUACCCCGCUGUUCUGACGGUACCCAAAGAAUAAGCACCGGCUAACUUCGUG